rnacentral:rRNA from 1 species
AGCGAACGCUGGCGGCAGGCCUAACACAUGCAAGUCGAACGGAUCCUUCGGGAUUAGUGGCGGACGGGUGAGUAACACGUGGGAACGUGCCCUUUGGUUCGGAACAACUCAGGGAAACUUGAGCUAAUACCGGAUGUGCCCUUCGGGGGAAAGAUUUAUCGCCAUUGGAGCGGCCCGCGUCUGAUUAGCUAGUUGGUGAGGUAAAGGCUCACCAAGGCGACGAUCAGUAGCUGGUCUGAGAGGAUGAUCAGCCACAUCGGGACUGAGACACGGCCCAAACUCCUACGGGAGGCAGCGGUGGGGAAUCUUGCGCAAUGGGCGAAAGCCUGACGCAGCCAUGCCGCGUGAAUGAUGAAGGUCUUAGGAUUGUAAAAUUCUUUCACCGGGGACGAUAAUGACGGUACCCGGAGAAGAAGCCCCGGCUAACUUCGUGCCAGCCGCCGCAGUAAUAC